UACGGGGGGGCAAGCGUUGUUCGGAAUUACUGGGCGUAAAGGGCGCGUAGGCCGGCUUUUCAAGUCGGGCGUGAAAUCUCCAGGCUUAACCUGGAACGGGUCGUUCGACUACUGUUAAGCUAGAGUGUGGAAGAGGCUACUGGAAUUCCGUGUGUAGCGGUGAAAUGCGUAGAUAUACGGAGGAACACCUGCGGCGAAGGCGGCUCACUG
rnacentral:rRNA from 1 species